AGUGAACGCUGGCGGUAGGCCUAACACAUGCAAGUCGAACGGCAGCACAGUAAGAGCUUGCUCUUACGGGUGGCGAGUGGCGGACGGGUGAGGAAUACAUCGGAAUCUACUUUUUCGUGGGGGAUAACGUAGGGAAACUUACGCUAAUACCGCAUACGACCUACGGGUGAAAGCAGGGGAUCUUCGGACCUUGCGCGAUUGAAUGAGCCGAUGUCGGAUUAGCUAGUUGGCGGGGUAAAGGCCCACCAAGGCGACGAUCCGUAGCUGGUCUGAGAGGAUGAUCAGCAACACUGGAACUGAGACACGGUCCAGACUCCUACGGGAGGCAGCAGUGGGGAAUAUUGGACAAUGGGCGCAAGCCUGAUCCAGCCAUACCGCGUGGGUGAAGAAGGCCUUCGGGUUGUAAAGCCCUUUUGUUGGGAAAGAAAAGCAGCAGGUUAAUACCCCGCUGUUCUGACGGUACCCAAAGAAUAAGCACCGGCUAACUUCAUG
rnacentral:rRNA from 1 species